rnacentral:piRNA from 1 species
CACCUUGACGGACUCAGACAGAC